CUGUGACUCCUACGGGAGGCAGCAGUGGGGAAUAUUGCACAAUGGGCGCAAGCCUGAUGCAGCAACGCCGUGUGAGUGAAGAAGGUUUCGGAUCGUAAAACUCUGUCCUAAGGGAAGAAACAAAUGACGGUACCUUAGGAGGAAGCCCCGGCUAACUACGUGCCAGCAGCCGCGGUAAUACGUAGGGGGCAAGCGUUAUCCGGAAUCACUGGGCGUAAAGGGUGCGUAGGCGGCUUAGCAAGCCAGGGGUGAAAGGCAUUGGCUCAACCAAUGUAAGCCUUUGGAACUGUUAAGCUUGAGUGCAGGAGAGGUAAGUGGAAUUCCUAGUGUAGAGGUGAAAUUCGUAGAUAUUAGGAGGAACACCAGUGGCGAAGGCGACUUACUGGACUGUAACUGACGCUGAUGCACGAAAGCGUGGGUAGCGAACAGGAUUAGAUACCCUGGUAA
rnacentral:rRNA from 1 species